UGGGGAAUCUUGGACAAUGGGCGAAAGCCUGAUGCAGCAACGCCGCGUGCGGGAAGACAGCCCUAGGGUUGUAAACCGCUUUCAGCAGGGAAGAAACUGACGGUACCUGCAGAAGAAGAUGCGGCCAACUACGUGCCAGCAGCCGCGGUGACACGUAGGCAUCAAGCGUUAUCCGGAUUUAUUGGGCGUAAAGAGCUCGUAGGCGGUUCGGUAAGUCGGGUGUGAAACUCUGGGCUCAACCCAGAGAGGCCACUCGAUACUGCUGUGACUAGAGUGCGGUAGGGGAGCGGGGAAUUCCUGGUGUAGCGGUGAAAUGCGCAGAUAUCAGGAGGAACACCAGUGGCGAAGGCGCCGCUCUGGGCCGUAACUGACGCUGAGGAGCGAAAGCAUGGGUAGCAAACAGGAUUAGAUACCCUGGUAGUCCACGCCGUAAACGAUGAAUGUUAGCCGUCGGGCAGUAUACUGUUCGGUGGCGCAGCUAACGCAUUAAACAUUCCGCCUGGGAGUACGGUCGCAAGAUUAAAACUCAAAGGAAUUGAC
rnacentral:rRNA from 1 species